rnacentral:rRNA from 1 species
GAUCCUGGUUCAGGAUGAACGCUGGCGGCGUGCUUAACACAUGCAAGUCGAACGAAGCACUUUAUUUGAUUUCCUUCGGGACUGAUUAUUUUGUUGACUGAGUGGCGGACGGGUGAGUAACGCGUGGGUAACCUGCCUUGUACAGGGGGAGUAACAGUUGGAAACGGCUGCUAAUACCGCAUAAGCGCACAGCAUCGCAUGAUGCAGUGUGAAAAACUCCGGUGGUAUAAGAUGGACCCGCGUUGG